UACUACAAUUUUUUCCAGGUGGGUGGAUGAUCCUGUUUCUGAUGUCAAAUCAUCUGUUAUAAUGCUUAAUCAAUAGCUCAGUCCUCCAGUCUUUUCCUACUUUUUCCUACUAAAAUGAGGAAAUACCAGAGGGUAAGGAUCUUACCACACCCGACCUGCUGGUGGAAGGCAGGUCAGAGGAGACAGCUCCAAGUCAUAAAAGCACAGACUUGGCUCGAAGCACAAUUGGGUAUGUCCUGUGCAAUUUCUCCCAACCCUCAGGAUCUCCAGGCUAUGAGAUUCACUUGAUUGACACCACGACUAUUUCAGUCACUAAGCUUGUAAACCCUUCUGGCUUCUCAGGCCCUGGACCAGAAAAGACACUCCAAUUGAGUAGGAGCUGCAAAGUCUGUUCUGCUGGAGUACCGAGACAGGGCUGUCUCACUGUUAUCCUGAAUCCACUCUCCAUUAGUGGCCUCAUCAGAAAAAUCACGAACCCUAUGAGACCAGGUGUACUCCCUGACUUUCGCCGACCCCACCUUCUAGAAUCUCUGAGAGACUAGCAAGCAGGCGAUACCCCACCUCAUCUGAAUACACCUCCCCCGGAAAAGCCCUCGCUGGAGUGUGCUCCCCGGGAGCCCAUCCGGAGCCCAUCAAGUGCAGCGCAUCCUGGUCAGGAGUGGGUUAAACAAAAGGCUGAGAGGAUAAGGGGCCCAGGGAAAGGUGCCAAGUGUACUGAGGUCCGGAGACUGCGCAGGAACUUAUCUAAAACACAGGCUCUGGACCAGGAUGCCCUGGCCUCUUUCUCCAGAGGCAAAGGCAGCCCUAGGAAAUAAGGGACCCCCAAAAAGACAGAGCAGGGACAGUCCCGGUGCAGAGGGGCAGGCUGGGAGGAGAGCUGGGGCCCUGCCAGAGUGUGCGUGCUGGUGGAGGAAGGAGACGCGCGGGGGCAGUUCGUGAGUGCUGGGCAGUCUGAUCUCUCAGCAGUCGGAGAUGGUAGGAGGGGCACCGGCUGGGGUUGGGAUGGAAAGCAGGGUCCGACUCUUCCCGUGGAACCGGACGAAAGCUGGAGUCCAGGGGGAUGCUAAUGGAUGGAGGCCAGCCCAAAAGAAGGCGCCCACCCUGGCAGGGGGCUUUGGACGCUAGUGGAGGGUUCCGUGGACGAGGAUCUGCAGAUGCAGUCAGAAAGCCAAGCAAGCAGUAAGUGUCUGUGUGCUGCCAUAUCCACCGGCCACGCUGGACUCUGCAUUGGAACUGGGGGCGCAUCCGUGUCUCUCUCAGGAGGCCACGGUGGAGGAGGAGACACCUGCGGACAGGAGAAUGUGCUGUGAGCCCAGCACAGGACCUGACCCCGAGGCCCUCCACAAACCUACCUCAAAGAAUAUGCGAAUGCGGUGUGAAAGUGUAAGUGUACAUCUUCCUGCCAGUGGAAUCCAGAAAGUAGUUUUUAAAAUGUGGUAGAAUGCAGUGUAUUUAUUGUGUGACCUUCAAUCAGGCAUGGAGAUCAGACAAGGGGAGGCUGAGAAAAACAAGUCCUGGCUUUGUGUGUGUCAGUACUGCCCCUUGCUCAGUGCCUGGCUUGCAUGUGGAUGUGUGUGUUCAAGAGGAUCCAAGCAGGGGCCCCUGCAGACUUGGCCCCAUCUGGCUGGCUGGAACCUCCCCUCAACCGCAGCUGCCUAGAAUGUGAGCUCUGUGGCCCCAUAGUCCUGCUGCCUGUGAGGACCUCAGAACUCCUGCAGGGUUUCUUCCCACUUUUGAUGGAAUGUCCAGUCUCAGUCCUCAGGGCAGGGUGCAGAGCAGCCUUCCACUUGGAUCAGAAAGCUCUGUAUCUGGCUGGGCUCCAGAGCAGGAUGCACCCAGGCCCUGACCACCCUGCAGGCAGCUAUGAUCUGUCCAGGUUCUGUCCUCAGAUGAGCUCAGUGCUGGGCUUAUCAUUCUGCUGUCAGAACAGGAAGGCGGCCCCAGGGGUAGGGGCUGAGGGCUGGUGUUUGGUACAGGUGGCUGGAAAGCCUCUGGGGCCAGUUAUUCCACAUUCCUGGAAGACCUGAAGGGGGCUUCCUCCUCCCUGCCCCCUCCUCUGGCACAUCAGGUGGCUGUCUGUGUCACGCCUCUGAACCCACCUCUGGAUCUUUGCAUGCACCAUGUUUUCUUUUAGGAGUGUCCCGCUGUGCAAAUGUCUGGUAAAUAGCCACUUUGGACUUCCCAGUUCCUGGAGAGGGAAUCCUGUCCAAGCUUCCCUAUAAACCAGGGUGGCCCGGAGUUUAUUUUGGUGAAUAGCAGUACACCUGAUCAUUAAUGGAAGCCCCUCCCCCAUGCCCUGCCAGAUCCCAUUAGAGGAUGGAGGUGAGCAGUUCUCUCCAGACAGGCAUCCCUGAAGAGGGAGGAAAUAAGGUAGUGUCCCAGCUGGACAGUCCCCUUUUGGGGCCCUCUUCUGCUGAGUUUCAUUCUUUUUUUUUUUUUUUUUUAAACAGCAAGCAUUUUUUAAAACAACUCCUUUGUGGGCUGAGGAUUUUGCUCAUUACCGUAAGCACUGGCCUUGCAAACAUGAGGUUAUGAGUUCAAUCUCCAGGACCAAAACAAAAAUAAAGCACUUUUUUUUUGCAAAAUCUUUUUUUUAAUUUAAAAAGAGAACAGAACAAAGUGAAUCAGAACAAUGCAAGAAACACAGCACUUCACAGCAACACAACCAAAUAUCAACAGUAGCUACCAUGUCUCUUUCUUUGAAAUAGUUGAGCAUACCUUCACACACAAUAGUAUCAAACAUAACAAAAUAGUAUAAAAUGAUUCAGGUGAGUGAAAGUAUUACAGGACAUUCAAAACCAAAAAAAAAAAAAAAAAAAAAAAAAACAAAACAGAAAAUAAACAAUGGCUACUGUAAUAUCUCAUUUUCAUUAAAAAUGUGUAUACUAUCACACAUACUAAAAUCCAGUAAGACACAACAUGAUAGAACCAAUGGAAACAGAAGAAAAAAAAAAGCAUGGUAGGACUUCAAAGCAAGAUGAUGUUAAAUCAGCAAUGGCUAUUAUAAUGUCUUGUUUUCUUCAAAGCAGCUAUUCAUACCACCACACAUAAUAAAAUCAAACAAAACAGAAGAAAGCCAUUCCAACCAAUGAAUGAAAAAUUAUAAGACUUCAAAACAGUAUAAUGGGGAACCAUGAUUACCAUAAAAUCUUAUAUACUCUUACCAUUUUUUAUACUAGUGAGACUAUAUGGUAAUUACACAUGUGAGUUUGAUUUAUUUUACUUAUGAGUAUGGUCUCAAGUUGCACCCACUUAUUUAUAAAUAUCUCUAUGUGAUCAUUCUGUAUAACUGAGUAGUACUCCAUUGUAUAAAAAUACCACAACUUUUUUAUCCAUUCCUCAGUUGAUGGGCACUUAGGUUGUUUCCAAGAUCUGGCUAUUACGAACUGUGCUGCUAUAAACAUGGGUGCACAUAUAUCACUGUGGCAUGAUGUUUUUAGUUCUUCUGGGAAUAUGCCUAGAAGUGAAAUAGCUGGGUCAAAUGGGACUUCCAAUCCAGCUUUUUGAGGAAUCUUCAGACUGACCUCCACAGUGAUUGCACCAGUCAAAAUCUCUUGUGUCACUCUGCAUGCCCUCUUAUUGCUAGGAUUUCUGAGCAGUGGUUUGAGCCAAGCCUCUUCCUGAAUCUUACGGUUGAGGGUCUACCUGUGUCUACCAUGCUCUCCCAGGAACCUCCUCCCUUUCUUGUCCCUCUUCCCCUGGGAGCUGUGCUUAGGUGUGGUAGGGAGAGCAGAGACCCAGGACUCAGUUCAUUCAGCACCAAGUUGCUAUGAGCCCCUGCAAAAUAGAGAGGUGGAGCACUCCCCUGAAAGUGUGGCCACACCGUGCAGAUCUCUGGAAAGCCAAGCCUGCUGAUGUCCACGAUGGGGCCUGAGACCCUGCAGGGACUCCAGGAGCUUAAAUUGGCUCAAGAAACAAGAGCUUCUUGAGGUCACAUAGCUUCCAUGUCAGAAGGCUUCUUAGGGUCAUUUAGUCUCUCCAUGUCAUGUGGCCACUCUGGGGAAGGGGCCGGGGUCACACAGCCUCCCAUGACCAUGGGUCCUGAGGGACACAUAGUAGCCAAUAGAGUACAAUUGCCAGGAGUCACACAGCUACUUGGUCACCAAGUGUCCCAGAGUCAACCCACUCACAGAUCAUGGACACCUGGGUCACGGGCUCCCCACAUAGACUCAUCUCACUGGAAGUUUGGGCUCCUUCUAGGCCCCUUCCUGCCUCCUCUCAUGAGGGUCAUCAGGGACUCAGACACGGGGCCGUGUGCACCUGUGGAUAUGCGUGUGGGGCUGAGCAAUUGGAAGGAGGAUCCCAAGGAAGGGCCACUUCCCGGUGCUGCUGAGUAGGUUAGAGGCCAGUUGGGGCCAACAGGAUAGCUGUGGGCUAUGGUGCAGUCCGAACAUGUUCCUUCCAAUUUUAAUCAAAGUUAAACAUUUAGAAAUCACCUGCUCUAUCCACAUUGCUGUAUCAGUUAAUUUGAUUAUGAUGGCAAGCACAGGGGUGCAAGCCUAUAAUCCCAGCACUUGGGAGGCUGAAGCAGCAAGAUCUGGAUUUCAAGUCAGGCUAAGAUACAUAGUGAGUUCCAAACCAGCCUCAGCUACAAAAUGAGACUCCUUUUCAAAGAAAAAAACAAACAAAAAAAGAGAUUUGAUCAUUUCACAAUGUCCACUUAAAGCAAGUAAUCGUGCUGUAUACCUUGAAUAUGUGCAAUUUUUAUUUGCUGAAUUUACAAAUAAAAACUAAUUUGCAAAAGGAACUCUCCUAAGACAUACAUUGGGAAACUAGAAACUGAUUGUGGUAUAGGACAGAGGUGGUGGCUAAGCUGGCUGGAGACAUGGGCGGGACCUGUAAAUUUCAAGAUCCCCUGCUGGCCCAGGACUACAGGACCCUGUGCGCAGAACUCAGAUUUCCUGGCUGCGGACACCAGGAAGGAACCCGGACGCAGGCGGUGCCCACUAGCCUUGGCCCACUCUGCAGUAUUUUUCUUCAUCCUUUUCUCUUUAUGUGGCCCGAGUCUGCUCUGCAGAGCCAGUUUUUCCCUGAUCACUUUACUCCUCAUGUUUCAAAUCAACUUUCACACCACUUUUGCUUUGUCUCAGCCAAUGCUCUGUGAGAGAUAAAAAGGACAGAGCAAGCCAUGUCUAAAGGAGCUAAUCAACGUUUCAGCCUGGCAAAAUCAGUUGAGAAAGGAAAAAAAAAAAUAGAAGGCAAAGCGUUUUUAAAAAUGAACAUAGCAAAACAAUGUUUUAGUCAGGCAUGGUGGGGCACACCUGGGAUCCCAGCAUUCAGAACGCUGAGACAGCAGCAUGACCAUGAGUUUGAGGGCAGCCUGGGUUGCGUAGUAAGGGCAAAGCAUCCUGGAGUGCAUAGUGAGAGCCUGUCUCAGAAAGAAAGAAGGGAGAGAGAGAGAGAGGGAAGAGGAGACAGAGAAAGAAAAGAAAAAAGGAAAAUAUUUUUCCCAGUCAUAAUGGAUUAUGAAAUUCAGCAGUUUAUUUUAAUAUAUAUAAUGAGUGAAAGGGUUUUGGCCCAGACAGGACUCUAGCCAGGAAAGCCUCAACCAGAACCAGGAAGCUCCUAACUCCCCCGCCCCUAGGAAUUUACCUGUGACUCCAUCCUCCCCGUCCCUAGGAAGUUACCUAUGGUGCCAAACCUAGGACCAAUGGGCUACCCGUGCAUCCUUGAUGCCCCUUUAGGUUCCACCCCGAACCGAGGCUAGUUACAUACCCCCCACACCAUGUGUCUGCUGGAGAGAUCGCUGGGACUCCAGUGGUCAGGGGGUGCCAGUUAUCCCUCUCAGAAUAAAAGCCUCUUUUGUUUUAUACGUCUCAUCUUUUGGAAAUAAUCCUAUCAUUUGGUGCCAUGACUCGAUCGGCAGGUGAUUGAUUCCUGGGACACACCCGUUUUGAGUUCCCAGUUGAGUCCCCAGCCAAUUCACAAACCAGAUAACAUCCUGGAUUAAUUUCUAUGCUUCUUCCUCUCCCGAGACCCGACUUGUUGCCAGCCUCCCGCACUCACCACCGGCCAGGUUGAUUUCAAGUGCGAACUGUCCGGGGAACUCUUGGCAUUGGGGUCUGCCCCAGUCGAGUUUUCUCCCCAUUCCCGUGGGUCUGUGGCACUUUCACAUCCUUCAGACAGCCCAAGGCAGGGUUUUUCUGGGCAAACCUGUGUCCACACUCUAAAAUCUCUCAUGUUCUUUGGGUUCGGAUAGCCCAAAGCAGAGAUUUCUGGACCGCCCACACUGAAAGACCCUCACUUCCCUUAAAGCCUCACAUUUUCAUGGGCAAAACUGUUACUGACCCCACGGUGUACUCCACUCGUAAAUCUCUCAGUGACUGGAAUAUAUGAGUUUUUGGAACCUUAGCCACCAUGUGGUGCCACAAAUGAGAGACAGCUUGUUUUCUGGAUCAUGGCUUAUUUCUUGCCUGAAUCAUUCAUGGGAAACUAUUUUCUAACUCCCGCAAAAAGCCUCUACAAUGCCUAAUUUCCAAUUUACAUACUCUUAAGAUUAAAAGUACCAUGAAAACUAAACAAUAACUUUUUACUGCCAGGAGGUCUGGCCAACCUAUCCACUUAGCGGCGAUCGUUGGCCCAGAGAAGGAACAUUUGACCCCUGCAUUCUCAGAAACUUGUAUGAUUUCUCUCAGGUCGGGACAAGUUAUUAGAAUUUCCUUAUAUUCAAUUCUUCCUUGUUCUGAGAACACGCCCAUCUCUCAUUAAGUCUUGUGCUCAUGCCCAGAUACUUUUAGUUAACUCUACCAUGCUGCGAAUUUUUCCGUCCUGCCCUCAGGAUUCGCUUGAUGAUGUUCUCCCAUUCUUUUCCUGGCCGCCGCCUGCCUACCCCCAAACUCAUUUCCCGCCAUGGUUCUGCCCUUCCCUCCCCCUAUCCUGAUUUUUUUGGCAGCUCUGGUCCCUCUGUGUCUCAAUUGCCUCCCGCUGUGCAACCGUUUUCCUCUUCAUCUCCUGGGACCAAUAACUCUCCUAGCAACUCUAAUCACUCUGUUAGUGCUUCCUCAAAGUCUCCAACUCAUUCUCCUCAUAAUUCUCUGACCUCUACAGCAUUCUUGCCACCCACCCACCACACCCAAUCUUGGUCAUUGUGCCCUUCCAGCAAGCUGCACGAUUGUUCCGGCUUGCCCCGGGAACGGUCACCAUGUUACAACCCUCCACCACGUGAGAGGGCACCGCCAUCUUGGGAUGGAUCUCAUGAUCAAUGGGUGCCCCCUUGUGCUCCUCUUGUGAACAGCAACAGCUGCUCUGUUGCGGUGCACAUGAUACUUCAUUUUGCUGCCAACAGCAAUUUUCUCACUGCAAAGCACACAGUGAGAUACCAUCUGCCUGUGUUUCCUUAUCCCAGGGUGACUGGCAGCCACUCUGUAGCCACGUCCCAGCCCCUCCCCCAUGCGUCAUCCCAGCCCCUCCCUCCCCUGUGCGCUGUCAUCACUGCUGCCUUAUGCGUUUCCAGGGGCAGUCCCAGCCCGCCCGUGCGCACUAUGACCCUACGCUGGCCCCACUCCCAUGCAGGGUGUGCUCUGCUGGAGCACGCAAAACAGCAGCUCAGGGGCUCCGCUCAAAAGAUGCUAUUUUUUAAUUUCAAUUCUCAAACCAUUUAAUCAAUGUUAUUGGCCACCUGAUAAUUUUACCAGCCUUGUUUAUCAAUCAAAGCCUUCACCAAUCUCCUGUUUAACAACUAAGGUUAUAAAUUCCUUUUUGCUGGAAACCACUGUUCCAAGACAAGGGUUUUGUUAAAAGUUCUAAUAUUGUCUAAAAACAAAAUUUUAUUUGUCUUGGUUCAUACUACUGCAAAUAACAGGUUAAAAAAAAGUAAAUGUGUUCAAAAUUUGACAGUAUUAGAUCAGUUUUUAUAGAUUUAUUCAUAAGAUUGGUAAACCUUUACUGCAAAAUGUUUACAUUAAAAUGAGAUUAUACUCCAAAAGGGGAGGUCAGACUAAAGCCUUUUUUGUUAAAUAUAUAAUUCCACACAAUACCCUAAAUGCAAUAUGCCAUCCAGAUAAAGCCUGCUCUCUGAUCUAAAAUGCCAAUAUUAAACUCCUGCACACUUACUUAAUUCUACUGUAGUCCAAAUCACAAACAAAAAGGUAAAACUUGACCUUCAAACCUUAGAGAGAUCUUAAUAUGGUUUUUCAUAUUUUUAACACUUUUGACACUUGGAAUUCUGAGGCAGGUAAACCUACACAAGGUGGAGCUGCCUGGCUUCACAUGGACCACGCUCAAAUGCAGCAGAAGACAUUGGGCAAGAGAGAGUGCCCCAUCCUGGCGUUCUUUGAGACCUUACUCCAGGGCUGCUGGACUGUCUUAGCCACCACAGAGUGGGUAAGCCAUCCUAAAAUGCCAACACUGCCAGAUUUGUUACCAACAAAAAUUGCUGCCAAAGACUGAGGGGGUUCAGAGCAACAUCAGCUCCCUUUAAAGUGUCUGUCUCAGAGUCCAAGUUGCACGAAAGUCUCAGGUAAGACAAUUCUCUAUAUUUGUGGACAUAGAGGCCAUAUAUACAGAGUUCUUCCCGAGUUUUCAGACUGCUAUAGUAAGUCCUCAAUCUCUAUGACGGGAUAUUGAUGGUCAACCUAUGCCAUUUACAAACAGGGCCCAUUUUGUGCAGGUCCCAGUCCUAAAUGGUUUUUUUUCUUUUUUGUCUUUUUCAUUUUUAUCAGUACCAGGGAUGAAACUCAUGACUGCCUGCUUGCAAGGCAGGCACUUAUGCCACUGAGCUAAACCCCCAGCCCCCCAGUCCUAAAUCUUAAGAUGCCUUUUAUACAGGCUGACUUAGACAUGCUGAGGCCUCAACAGCUUACACCUGUUAUUGCUAGUAAACCUCUCCUCAGUGAUAUAAGACCACCUCCUUCCUUUCUUAUUCACCAAUUUCUCAGAUAACCCUGGUCAAGACUGACAGAUAUAUUUUGUCUUCUCACUUUGUUUAUACUUUUUCAGGAUACAUAAAAGCCUUUCUCACAACCAGGGAAACUGCUGAGAUACUUGCUGAAGUUCUGUUACAGCAAAUCAUUCCAAGAAAUACAACCAGGUUACAGUGACCCAUACCUAAAUCAAUGUUGCUAGAUGGCCAUUCUGAUUUUGCAUCACUUAGGCCCUAGAUCUAACCAUCUGGUUGCCUACUCAGCUCUGCCUUACCAAGGCCUCACAGCCAUGACUCUCAGGCUGUCAUAAUUUGUUAUCCACUUUGGUUCCUAAUUACUUACUUUCUAUUAAUGAGCAUUUUUACAGCAGGACUAUUGACAGUGUUUCCCAAAGACUCCCACAUCAUAUGUAAGAUAAUAUUUCAUAAUGUUCUAUGCAAUGACAGUUGUUCUUCUUUCUACCCUCGCUGUCUGGUGAAACGUGACAUCCCUGAAAGCCCAAGCUCUUACCUUCCCUAUACUGGUACAGCCACCACCUUCCCUACUUCCCCUAUUUUUUCCAGUUCAACUCCUGGACCGGAGACAAGUUUUACACACCUACCCUCUUAACUUUUACGCUUUUAGAUGGGGGAGUAAUCACCUCUCAUAACAUCACUCCUCCUAACCUCACACUUAAUUUUCAGAAUUCUACCUCACUGUGACAAUGAUCCUACCUCAAAGUCAUCCUGAUAUAAUGACAUGUCUAAUCAAAGGCACCUUUCCUUCUACCUCACCUGGGUCCUUAAAUAUGACAGUGCCAUGUCUCCUCAUAACAUUUUGUCUCUUUGUUUUUCCAGUCUAGCAUAUGUGCAUUCACCAGUGAAGUUGUCCUGGCUAAAACACCUGGCACCAGCGUCUACCUGGGCAUCAACCAUCAUUCCAUCAACUCCCCUAGACUCCAGUACAGCGACCUCUGCCAGCAGAAAGUAGUUAAAGAGAGAAAUCUUCACCCCUUUUCAUAAUAAUAAUAAUAAUCAUCAGAUGGGAUAUGAAAGGGUUUUGGUCCAGACAGGACUCUGUAGCCAGGAAAGCCUCAACCAGAACCAGGAAGCUCCUAUUUCCCUGCCCCUAAGAAUUUACCUGUGACUCCAUCCUCCCCACCCCUGGGAAGUUAUCUAUAGCGCCAAACCUAGGACCAAUGGGCUACCCCUGCAUCUCUGAUGCCCCCUUAGGUUCCACCCCAAACCAAGGCUACUUAUGUACUCUCCACACCACAUGUCCGCUGAAGAGAUCGCUGGACUCCAGCAGUCCAGGGGUGCCAGUUAUUUCUCUCCGUGUUCUCAGAAUAAAAGCCUCUUUUGUUUUAUA